GUAAGUACAGUAAUGUAUUCAGCUGACCAAUACUAAUAGGUCGAGGGCUUGAUCAAAU
rnacentral:rRNA from 1 species